rnacentral:lncRNA from 1 species
AUCAAUAAAAAAAUAAAUUAAAAAAAAAAAAAAAAAAAAAAAAAAAGAAUGGACUUUCCCAGGCCAGCUGUGGUGGCUCACGACUGUAAUCCCAGCACUGUGGCAGGCCAAGGCGGGCAGAUCACCUGAGAUCAGGAGUUCAAGACCAGCCUGACCAACACGGAGAAACCCCGUCUCUACUAAAAAUAAAAAAAAAUAGCUGGGCGUGGUGGUGCAUGCCUGUAAUCCCAGCUACUUGGGAGGCUGAGGCAGGAGAAUUGCUUGAACCCAGGAGGCAGAGGUUGUUGUGAGCUGAGAUUGCACCAUUGCACUCCAGCCUGGGCAACAAGAGGGAAACUCCAUAAAAAAAAAAAAAAAAAAAGGACUUUCUCAAAGAAAAUGUAUUUAAAUGUCUGCACCAAUAAUUCCAGCAUGUGUAUGAAUAAAUAUGAUAUGUCCUUUACUAAAAAAAAAAAAACAAA